CCUCCCACUCACAGGCAGGGUUUGGGACCUUUCCUUUUUACUUGGGGGCUUGGCUGACUUUUGAUUGCCCAAAGCAGUGAAACAGGGCAGAAUGGAUGCAUUAUGACUUCAAAGUCUAGGAAAUAAAAAGAACACAGUUUCUGCCUGGCUUGCUAUUUGGGAGAUGCUCACUCUGGGGACAACAACUAUCAUGUUGUGAGGAAGACCCAACAAUCCUGUGCAUAGACACUACUUGAGAGGCUUUCAUGGAGAGGAAGGGGCAUGCCGAGCGGACAGCCAGACCAACCACUAAGCAUGUGUGAGCGAGCCUUCAGGUGAUUCUGGCCUCCGGGCUUCAAGCUUCUCCUGACACCAAGUGAAGCAGAGGGUACCCAUCCACACUACACCCUGACCAAAACGCAGAUCUGUGGGCAAAAUCAAUGUGGUUGUUAUUGUGUUAAACCACUCAGUUCUUUAAGAAUGGAACAAGCCCUCUUCAGCCAUGGCCACAUCUUCUGUCCAUGAGUCUAACCAUCAUCCUCACCACCCUUGUCUGAUCCUUGAUGGUUUUGUCUCCUCCACCAGAAGCAAGGAAUCUCAUCUCAAUAACACCAAGUCUCACGCAGAAAGAGGCCUCCAUAAAUGAUCAUCCACAACAAUGAGGUCUAAUGAGAGCCAAGGAAAGAAAGAUAUUGUUGGAUCUAUCAUCAUAAGACUCAUGUGCUGGGACUCAGGGAGUGGCUACUGGCUGAUGAACAUCCCCAACCACCCCACGUGUAGCCGGCAGUUCCUGCUUUCUGUGGCUAUGGUCAGCACUGAGACAAGAGCUACGAGUGCUUGUGUGGUGACUGAUAAGCUCUAGCUCCACUCAGGCCCGAGGACUUGAUCAGAUGGCAGCGUGAGGCAUUCGGAGGGAAUCCUAUGUGAUAACGGCCGCAACACUGAGGUGACCCUUGGAAUUAGACAACAAAAAGGAAGCACCAGCACUGUGACCUGGGGAGCCUUCCUGGAGAGAUGUAGCCACUGCCAUUGCUGGUGGCCUUACUUCUGUCCCCCAAGAGAGAAGCAGGUCAGUGACUCUCCCCACCAAUAGAGGUCCAGCUUCAUCCCACACUGGCACAGCCCUGCUCCAGUGCUGCACUCAGACACAUCCUGGUGCCGGUCCAUCCCAGGAACUUUCUGAACUCCAGGUCCAACAUCCCUCAAACACCAGCAAAUCUGAUGCAUAAUGAAAACUCAGCAGGAAUGGCAGGGCAGAACGUGGUUCUCCAUGAGGGCCAGUGGGUGCUGUUCCUCCCCAGGCCCUACCCUUGUCAUCUGGAAAGUGGGUUCUUUUACAAAGGCAUCUGGAAGGAGGUUGGAAGCUGGGAAUGAGAAAUAAUUAAUUCCCUAGGAAAGGGAAGCUUGGAGAAAGGGGCUGGCUUCUGAAAUCAAAGUAGGGCCCACUAGCUUUCGGACUCAGUGACCUAAAAUCUAUCCUCCAAUUCCACUCCCUUCUCCAAGCUUUUUCAUUCCCAUGCUGCCCAGGAAAAAAGCUCAGGAUCCAGUUGAUCCCAGAGUUGGUGGCAUCCCAGUUCACUUUCAAGUUCUCUCCGGUAAUGCUUUGGUCAAUGGGCACAACAGCUUUGGCAGGCUCCAUCGCACCUGCUGCUCAGAACCCUGCCAGCACUACCCCAACCUCCCCCUAUCCAUAUGUUAACUGGGAACUAUUCCUUCAGGCAGCCAAGACAUUUACUGGGCACCUAUGAUGUGCUAGAUUCAAGUAGAUAAGGAUCAAACACAACCCAGCAUCUUGAGCUCAUGCUCCAAAUACUACAGACCAGCAGCCCAGUGAGGUCUGGAAAACAAGACUGAGGAGAAGACCCAGAGAACGUAAGGGAAUGGAUUUUCCAGGAUCCACCGGUCCUUCAUCACUUGUUCCAAACACCAUUCCUGUCUGCCAACAUGUGUGUCUGCAGCAGGAAUUAAGGAAUGAGAACUGCUCUUCUCUUUGUCAGAGAGAGAAUCUGAGUCUGCUGGGUCACUACGCAAGCCUGGAUUGCCACUCCAGAAACCCACAGGACUCCCUUUUUGGUUGCUGAUGGGUACUACAGACCCCACUGUCUGCCAUCCCAACUCUUUCCCACCGUGGUCUCCUUUGUCCCCAUCUCCCUACUCCAGCGUGUGACUCCAUGAGCACAACAAGCGGGGUAGAAUUGUUCUUUCAGGGAAAAUCAUACGGGGCCAUGAGACCAAAUGUUAUUCUUGUCCCUAUCUGGUAUUUCUUCUGAUCCAGACUCCAGAAAAAAGAAAAAGCUGAGGGGGUUUCCUUGUGCUUGAGGACUUUGCGCUGACAGCAGCUCCCUACGGGGAAGGUGAGGAGCAGCGUGUGGCCCCACCCUUCUGGCGACACCUCACAGAGAAGCCUCUUCUCAGGGGCUGCAGAGCUGGGCCACCUAGUAAUACAGAAGAGCCCUUCAGGGGACAGGGAAGAUUUGGGGAGAGAGAGAUAGGUCUAUGCAAGGGGUCUGUGGAAGAGACGGUCUGAUCAAAGGUGGCAUCGGGAGGAGGCUGCGGUUGUGCUCAAAGCCCAGAGUGCACAGGGGAGAAAGUUACAGUUUUGCUUAGAGAAAGGCAAGCUCUGUACCUGACUGAGCACCUGGAGUCUGCUUCAGGAACUGCAACCCAGCAUGGGAUGCCAAGAAGCAGAGGACAUGGAGAUGCUCAGCCCCGGGGCCCCACCCCGGUAAUUCCUCCCCCCUCCAAUCCUGCAGUCUGCCAAGCUGCCCUGCCUCUUUCAUGGCCCCUGGGGUGCAACUCCUGUGCAUCUACCUCUCUCUCUGCUCUCUGUGAAGCUCAGUUCACUUCACCCUAGGGGCUUACAACCUGCAGGAGCAGGAAAAGACCCAGCAGGUCAUCCCUGUGAGAGGAGCCAUUCCCCAUCCAGACCACAAGCCUAGGAAUUUCUCCAAGGACAUUGUGUUACUCAGGGGCUGUGGAGAAGGCAACCCCAUGAUGGUCCCUGGAGUCUUUAUGGAUUCCUUUCCUCUGCCCUGAGCUUGAAGAGGACGGCCAACCUGACUGCCUCUGUGAACCCCUUCAGGCUGCCAAGGAGGAGAGAACUGGCAAAGCCAGGGAUGGUGUGCAGUGUUGCUAACUGAGAGCAUCUUGGUGGGAGUGCACCCUUAGCUAGAAAACUGCAUGAGGUGUAACUUGCAGUUCAAAUGGAUGAGCAACGCAUCUCUCCUUACAAAGACCAUUACCAUAUCACCACCCAGAUAUGUGUGGGGGACCCAACAAAAAGGAAGACUUCUUUUAAGCACUAGGAGUGCAAGUUGAUGACAGGGCUACUGUCACUUGCCCCAAGCCAGAGAAUUUGAACCAACCAGCUCACAGAUGACACAAGACAAUCAGAAAAGCACAUCUCCAAUGAUAUCAUGAUACUAAAGAUUGGUUAUUGAUUAUUUGAAUUGACUACUGUGAUCCAGAUGACCUUAUUUUAGGAUGGUAUAUCCUUCAAACAGCUCCACCAGUGAAUUGGAUGUGACAGAACACAACACAUUCAUGGAUAUGAACAGCAAAAUCUAGCACGUUGAAAAAUAAGAUGAAAAGCAAAUGAAAGCUUAUUUUUCAUUUAUGACUGUCCCCAUGUCCAUCUGGGGCUCACAGCACCGCAGAAGCACAGGGGAGGGAAGAGCUGAAUGCACGUGCGGAAAUGAACAGCUGAAUGGUAGAUAGUGCAGGAGCCCAGGGACAACUUCGGGUCCUAGUAGUUAAAGGACGCUUUUGGGAGAAGCCAUCAAACUAAAGAAAUGGAGACCCAGGAAAUUCAGCCAUGAGGAGCUCCCCGGAGCCACAGGGUGUAAGCCAGAGCCAGCGAGAGAAUAACCAGAGAUAUUCACCACCAGUGGCAUGGGUGUGUGGCCUCAAAGGACAGUGCGUGGAAGGUCAAUUCCCUCUCACACCUGACAGGAACACUUGUCUUAUUAUGACACACAUGAGGAAGCAAAACGAUGACCUUCUAAUGCCUGUAGCAUCAGGAAGACUGGGCUGCUCUUGAUGGUACCUGUUUCCUUAAAAAGCUU
ensembl:lncRNA